rnacentral:rRNA from 1 species
AUUGAACGCUGGCGGCAGGCCUAACCCCUGCAAGUCGAACGAGUGGCGGACGGGUGAGUAAUGUCUGGGAAACUGCCUGAUGGAGGGGGAUAACUACUGGAAACGGUAGAUAAUAACGCAUACCAUCGGUUGGGCCCAGAUGGGUUGAGCUAGUAGGUGGGGUAACGGCUCACCUAGGCGACGAUCCCUAGCUGGUCUGAGAGGAGGACCGGCUCCACUGGAACUGAGACACGGUCCAGACUCCUACGUGAGGCAGCAGUGGGGAAUAUUGCACAAUGGUCGCAAGCCUGAUACAGCCAUGCCGCGUGUAUGAAGAAGGCCUUCGGUUUGUAAAGUGCUUUCAGCGAUGAGGCGUUACUCGCAGAAGAAGCCACGGCUAACUCCGUGCCAGCAGCCGCGGUAAUUC